GAGUUUGAUCCUGGCUCAGGAUGAACGCUGGCGGCGUGCCUAACACAUGCAAGUCGAACGGACUUACAUUGAAGCCUAGCGAUAUGUAAGUUAGUGGCGGACGGGUGAGUAACGCGUGGGUAACCUGCCUUGUACUGGGGGACAACAGUUGGAAACGACUGCUAAUACCGCAUAAGCGCACAGCUUCGCAUGAAGCAGUGUGAAAAACUCCGGUGGUACAAGAUGGACCCGCGUCUGAUUAGCUGGUUGGUGAGGUAACGGCCCACCAAGGCGACGAUCAGUAGCCGGCCUGAGAGGGUGAACGGCCACAUUGGGACUGAGACACGGCCCAAACUCCUACGGGAGGCAGCAGUGGGGAAUAUUGCACAAUGGGGGAAACCCUGAUGCAGCGACGCCGCGUGGAGGAAGAAGGUCUUCGGAUUGUAAACUCCUGUUGUUGAGGAAGAUAAUGACGGUACUCAACAAGGAAGUGACGGCUAACUACGUGCCAGCCGCCGCGGUAAUAC
rnacentral:rRNA from 1 species